UACGUAGGGUGCGAGCGUUGUCCGGAAUUAUUGGGCGUAAAGAGCUUGUAGGCGGUCUGUCGCGUCUGCUGUGAAAAUCCGGGGCUCAACCCCGGACCUGCAGUGGGUACGGGCAGACUAGAGUGUGGUAGGGGAGACUGGAAUUUCUGGUGUAGCGGCGAAAUGCGCAGAUAUCAGGAGGAACACCGAUGGCGAAGGCAGGUCUCUGGGCCAUAACUGACGCUGAGAAGCGAAAGCAUGGGGAGCAAACAGG
rnacentral:rRNA from 1 species